CUGUUCUUGAUUCAGCAACACACAUACUAAAAUAGGAAUGAUACAAAGAUUAGCAUGGCUCCUGCACAGGAAGACACACAAAUUCAGGAAUCGGUCCAUAUUUUU